UACGGAGGGUGCAAGCGUUAUCCGGAUUCACUGGGUUUAAAGGGUGCGUAGGUGGGCAAGUAAGUCGGUGGUGAAAUCUCCGGGCUUAACCCGGAAACUGCCAUUGAUGCUAUUUGUCUUGAAUACUGUGGAGGUCAGCGGAAUAUGUCAUGUAGCGGUGAAAUGCUUAGAUAUGACAUAGAACACCAAUUGCGAAGGCAGCUGGCUACACAAAUAUUGACACUGAGCCACGAAAGCGUGGGGAUCAAACAGG
rnacentral:rRNA from 1 species